CCCAGACUCCUACGGGAGGCAGCAGUGGGGGAUAUUGCACAAUGGGGGGAACCCUGAUGCAGCGACGCCGCGUGGGUGAAGGAGCGUUUCGGCGCGUAAAGCCCUAUCGGCAGGGAAGAAGGAGGACGGUACCUGACUAAGAAGCCCCGGCUAACUACGUGCCAGCAGCCGCGGUAAUACGUAGGGGGCAAGCGUUAUCCGGAUUUACUGGGUGUAAAGGGGGCGCAGACGGCAGCGCAAGCCAGGAGUGAAAGCCCGGGGCCUAACCCCGGGACUGCUCUUGGAACUGCGCGGCUGGAGUGCAGGAGGGGCAGGCGGAAUUCCUGGUGUAGCGGUGAAAUGCGUAGAUAUCAGGAGGAACACCGGUGGCGAAGGCGGCCUGCUGGACUGCGACUGACGUUGAGGCCCGAAAGCGUGGGGAGCAAACAGGAUUAGAUACCCUAGUAAC
rnacentral:rRNA from 1 species